AGUCUUUUAGUAUAUUGAGUAUGUUCUAGUGCAGGUAGAAAGGGUGAGAGAUUU
rnacentral:tRNA from 1 species